AUCUGUGGAAGAGACUCGACU
rnacentral:miRNA from 1 species